AUUUGGUUUUUAAUUGGUUCAACAAAUGUUCAACAGAAGCUAGUUGAUUUACUAUGCUCAGACAGUUGAAACUAAUUGACGACGCAUGUCGACUCGACUAUAUUAGCAUUAACAUACACAAUCGUAGCCAAAAAUCAGACAUUCAGAAGUGUGGGACACAUGACUCGACUCAUACUGAUUAAAACAGGAAAAUUCAGUUUAGGGUUUAAAACCCUAAUGCUGACUAAAAGGAAAAUUCAGUUUAGGGUUUAAAACCCUAAUGCUGACUAAAGGAAAAAUUCAGUUUAGGGUUUAAAACCCUAAUGCUGAUUGCAUGAAAAAGCUCAGUUUAGAAUUUAAAACCCUAAUGCUGGUUGAAAGGAAAAAGUUCUGUUUAAGGUUUAAAACCCUAAUGUUGACUAAAAGGAAAAUUCAGUUUAGGGUUUAAAACCCUAAUGCUGAUUGCAUGAAAAAGCUCAGUUUAGAGUUUAAAACUCUA
rnacentral:lncRNA from 1 species